AAAGCAGGUCUGCAAUUGCAGCACUUCUGUGAGGUGAAAUGCUGUCAUUAACCCUGCUGAGAACAUUUCUGCUUCAGAGAUCUUCUUCUUCACUCAUGCUGAAGAAGCUCCUCUGGAGCUGAAACAU